ACAAUGCAGAAUUGAAGUUGUUCUUGGAAGUAGAGCUUGGGCAGGAUUUACGACCUAUUGCUCCUCCGGACAAAACUAAAGAAGAUAUUCUUCUUUUCUUCAAGCUUUAUGAUCCUGAGAAAGGAGAAUUACGAUAUGUUGGUAGGCUUUUUGUGAAGAGUUCUGGUAAACCAAUGGAAAUCUUGGCAAAACUUAAUCAAAUGGCUGGCUUUGCACCUGAUGAAGAGAUUGAACUCUAUGAGGAAAUAAAGUUUGAGCCCUGUGUCAUGUGUGAACAUCUUGAUAAGAGGACCUC
rnacentral:misc_RNA from 1 species